AUUGAACGCUGGCGGCAUGCUUUACACAUGCAAGCCGAACGGUAACAGGGUGCUUGCACCGCUGACGAGUGGCGAACGGGUGAGUAAUGCGUCGGAACGCACCGAGUAAUGGGGGAUAACGCAGCGAAAGUUGUGCUAAUACCGCAUACGCUCUGAGGAGGAAAGCGGGGGACCUUGGGGCCUCGCGUUAUUCGAGCGGCCGACGUCUGAUUAGCUAGUAGGUGAGGUAAGAGCUCACCUAGGCGACGAUCAGUAGCGGGUCUGAGAGGAUGAUCCGCCACACUGGGACUGAGACACGGCCCAGACUCCUACGGGAGGCAGCAGUGGGGAAUUUUGGACAAUGGGCGCAAGCCUGAUCCAGCCAUGCCGCGUGUCUGAAGAAGGCCUUCGGGUUGUAAAGGACUUUUGUCAGGGAGGAAAUCCCUAAGGUUAAUACCCUUGGGGGAUGACAGUACCUGAAGAAUAAGCACCGGCUAACUGCGUGCCAGCCGCCGCUGUAA
rnacentral:rRNA from 1 species